rnacentral:rRNA from 1 species
UAGUGGCGAACGGGUGAGUAACACGUGGGCAAUCUGCCCUUCACUCUGGGACAAGCCCUGGAAACGGGGUCUAAUACCGGAUAACACUGCGGAUCGCAUGGUCUGCGGUUAAAAGCUCCGGCGGUGAAGGAUGAGCCCGCGGCCUAUCAGCUUGUUGGUGAGGUAGUGGCUCACCAAGGCGACGACGGGUAGCCGGCCUGAGAGGGCGACCGGCCACACUGGGACUGAGACACGGCCCAGACUCCUACGGGAGGCAGCAGUGGGGAAUAUUGCACAAUGGGCGAAAGCCUGAUGCAGCGACGCCGCGUGAGGGAUGACGGCCUUCGGGUUGUAAACCUCUUUCAGCAGGGAAGAAGCGAAAGUGACGGUACCUGCAGAAGAAGCGCCGGCUAACUACGUGCCAGCAGCCGCGGUAAUACGUAGGGCGCAAGCGUUGUCCGGAAUUAUUGGGCGUAAAGAGCUCGUAGGCGGCUUGUCACGUCGAUUGUGAAAGCCCGAGGCUUAACCUCGGGUCUGCAGUCGAUACGGGCUAGCUAGAGUGUGGUAGGGGAGAUCGGAAUUCCUGGU